GAUGAAGAACGUAGCGAAAUGCGAUACGUAAUGUGAAUUGCAGAAUUCAGUGAAUCAUCGAGUCUUUGAACGCACAUUGCGCCCCCUGGUAUUCCGGGGGGCAUGCCUGUCCGAGCGUCAUUGCUGCCCUCAAGCACGGCUUGUGUGUUGGGCCUCCGUCUUCCUCCCGGGGGACGGGCCCGAAAGGCAGCGGCGGCACCGCGUCCGGUCCUCGAGCGUAUGGGGCUUCGUCACCCGCUCUUGUAGGCCCGGCCGGCGCUUGCCGACACAUCAAUCUUUUUUCCAGGUUGACCUCGGAUCAGGUAGGGAUACCCGCUGAACUUAAGCAUAUCAAUAAGCGGAGGA
rnacentral:misc_RNA from 1 species